rnacentral:rRNA from 1 species
GAUGAACGCUAGCUAUAGGCUUAACACAUGCAAGUCGAGGGACCGGCGCACGGGUGAGUAACGCGUAUCCAACCUACCCAUAACUAAGGGAUAACCCAGCGAAAGUUGGACUAAUACCUUAUGGUUAUGGAUGGGGAUGCGUCUGAUUAGCUUGUUGGCGGGGUAACGGCCCACCAAGGCAACGAUCAGUAGGGGUUCUGAGAGGAAGGUCCCGCACAUUGGAAGUGAGACACGGGUCAAACGCCUACAGGGAGCAGGCGUGAGGAAUAGUGGUCAAUGGACGCAAGUCAGAACCAGCCAAUGAGCGUGCAGGAUGACGGCCGAUAGGGUGUAAACUGGUGUUAUAUGGGGAUAGGGACCAGAUGAGUAAGGUCCGGGUAAUUCAGUGCCAGCAGCCGCGGUAAUAC